rnacentral:rRNA from 1 species
AUUGAACGCUGGCGGCAUGCCUUACACAUGCAAGUCGAACGGCAGCACGGGUGCUUGCACCUGGUGGCGAGUGGCGAACGGGUGAGUAAUACAUCGGAACAUGUCCUGUAGUGGGGGAUAGCCCGGCGAAAGCCGGAUUAAUACCGCAUACGAUCUACGGAUGAAAGCGGGGGACCUUCGGGCCUCGCGCUAUAGGGUUGGCCGAUGGCUGAUUAGCUAGUUGGUGGGGUAAAGGCCUACCAAGGCGACGAUCAGUAGCUGGUCUGAGAGGACGACCAGCCACACUGGGACUGAGACAAGGCCCAGACUCCUACGGGAGGCAGCAGUGGGGAAUUUUGGACAAUGGGCGAAAGCCUGAUCCAGCAAUGCCGCGUGUGUGAAGAAGGCCUUCGGGUUGUAAAGCACUUUUGUCCGGAAAGAAAUCCUUGGCCCUAAUACGGUCGGGGGAUGACGGUACCGGAAGAAUAAGCACCGGCUAACUACGUG